rnacentral:rRNA from 1 species
UAGUGGCGAACGGGUGAGUAACACGUGGGCAAUCUGCCCUUCACUCUGGGACAAGCCCUGGAAACGGGGUCUAAUACCGGAUAAUACCUGCCUGGGCAUCUGGGUGGGUUGAAAGCUCCGGCGGUGAAGGAUGAGCCCGCGGCCUAUCAGCUUGUUGGUGAGGUAGUGGCUCACCAAGGCGACGACGGGUAGCCGGCCUGAGAGGGCGACCGGCCACACUGGGACUGAGACACGGCCCAGACUCCUACGGGAGGCAGCAGUGGGGAAUAUUGCACAAUGGGCGAAAGCCUGAUGCAGCGACGCCGCGUGAGGGAUGACGGCCUUCGGGUUGUAAACCUCUUUCAGCAGGGAAGAAGCGAGAGUGACGGUACCUGCAGAAGAAGCGCCGGCUAACUACGUGCCAGCAGCCGCGGUAAUACGUAGGGCGCAAGCGUUGUCCGGAAUUAUUGGGCGUAAAGAGCUCGUAGGCGGCUUGUCACGUCGGGUGUGAAAGCCCGGGGCUUAACC